ACGUUCCUUGAUGGAUGCCAUGGACAAUCUGCAAGCUUUCUCUCUCCUUUCACUCUCUCUCUCUCUUUUGCAAAUUUGCAAUUCGAAAAUUUCAAAGGUUUAAUUGGGAGGGACAAUGGGACAAGCUACGCACGACGAAAUAGAUUGGUCCUGGGGGAGGAUCUAGUCUCACGCGCUAUUCAGAGAGUGGCUUUCACGUUUUUUGCCUUUUGGUAAUAAGGGACUGGGAAGUGAAGUUCACGGAAGUGUUUUGUUAGUGAGGUUAGAGUCAAAGUAAAUUGAUGGCGUUUGGUAAGCAUUGAAAUUUCAAAAUCACUUUUUUUCUAUAACAAGAAUUUUUUGUAAAAAAAAACGUUUUUUUUUCUUUUUCGAUUGAACAUAUAUCCAGUUUUGGGACGGGUCAAGAUCCUCUCCAAAGACCCUUUACUACAUUUUUUUUUAAGAAUAAUUAUUUAUUUAAAAAAUAACAACUUUAAAAAGUUAUAUCUAUUUAUUACAAUUUUAAAAGAAAAUCAGAAUAAAAAAAUAAUCUAAUAACUUUUUUAAAAAAUUGUUUCGAGCUAUUCUCACAAAAAAAUAUUUUUUAUAAACUGAUUGUUUAAAAGAAAUUGAUUUUUAUUUCACACAAUCACAAAACAGAACUUCUUUUUUUUUUUUUUUUUUAAAUUUUUAAAUAAUCUCUCCUUUCACUCUCUCUCUCUCUUUUGCAAAUUUGCAAUUCGAAAAUUUCAAAGGUUUAAUUGGGAGGGACAAUGGGACAAGCUACGCACGACGAAAUAGAUUGGUCCUGGGGGAGGAUCUAGUCUCACGCGCUAUUCAGAGAGUGGCUUUCACGUUUUUUGCCUUUUGGUAAUAAGGGACUGGGAAGUGAAGUUCACGGAAGUGUUUUGUUAGUGAGGUUAGAGUCAAAGUAAAUUGAUGGCGUUUGGUAAGCAUUGAAAUUUCAAAAUCACUUUUUUUCUAUAACAAGAAUUUUUUGUAAAAAAAAACGUUUUUUUUUCUUUUUCGAUUGAACAUAUAUCCAGUUUUGGGACGGGUCAAGAUCCUCUCCAAAGACCCUUUACUACAUUUUUUUUUAAGAAUAAUUAUUUAUUUAAAAAAUAACAACUUUAAAAAGUUAUAUCUAUUUAUUACAAUUUUAAAAGAAAAUCAGAAUAAAAAAAUAAUCUAAUAACUUUUUUAAAAAAUUGUUUCGAGCUAUUCUCACAAAAAAAUAUUUUUUAUAAACUGAUUGUUUAAAAGAAAUUGAUU
rnacentral:lncRNA from 1 species